rnacentral:rRNA from 1 species
UACGAAGGGUGCAAGCGUUGUUCGGCAUUAUUGGGCGUAAAGGGUUCGUAGGCGGAACCGUAAGUCAAGUGUGAAAUCCCCGAGCUUAACUUGGGACGUGCACUUGAAACUGCGAUUCUUGAGUAUUGGAGAGGGUAAUGGAAUUGUUGGUGUAGGAGUGACAUCCGUAGAGAUCAACAGGAACACCAGAGGCGAAGGCGAUUACCUGGCCGAAGACUGACGCUGAGGAACGAAAGUGCGGGGAGCAAACACG